rnacentral:rRNA from 1 species
CCUACGGGGGGCAGCAGUGGGGACUAUUGCACAAUGGGGGAAACCCUGAUGCAGCGACGCCGCGUGAGUGAAGAAGUAUUUCGGUAUGUAAAGCUCUAUCAGCCGGGAAGAAAAUGACGGUACCUGAUUAAGCAGCCACGGCUAACUACGUGCCAGCAGCCGCUGUAAUACGUAGGGGGCAAGCGUUAUCCGGAUUUACUGGGUGUAAAGGGAGCGUAGACGGCAGGACAAGUCUGGAGUGAAAUGCCGGGGCUUAACCCCGGAACUGCUGUGGAAACGGUGCAGCUAGAGUGCAGGAGAGGGAAGUGGAAUUCCUAGUGUAGCGGUGAAAUGCGUAGAUAUUAGGAGGAACACCAGUGGCGAAGGCGGCGUACGGGACUGUAACUGACGUUGAGGCUCGAAAGCGUGGGGAGCAAACAGGAUUAGAUACCCGUGUAGUC